CCUCCCGUAAGGGGAACCUGCGGAAGGAUCAUUACAGAAUGAAAAGUGCUUAACUGCAUUUUUUCUUACACAUGUGUUUUUCUUUUUUUGAAAACUUUGCUUUGGUAGGCCUUCUAUAUGGGGCCUGCCAGAGAUUAAACUCAACCAAAUUUUAUUUAAUGUCAACCGAUUAUUUAAUAGUCAAAACUUUCAACAACGGAUCUCUUGGUUCUCGCAUCGAUGAAGAACGCAGCGAAAUGCGAUAAGUAAUAUGAAUUGCAGAUAUUCGUGAAUCAUCGAAUCUUUGAACGCACAUUGCGCCCUUUGGUAUUCCAAAGGGCAUGCCUGUUUGAGCGUCAUUUCUCCCUCAAACCCUCGGGUUUGGUGUUGAGCGAUACGCUGGGUUUGCUUGAAAGAAAGGCGGAGUAUAAACUAAUGGAUAGGUUUUUUCCACUCAUUGGUACAAACUCCAAAACUUCUUCCAAAUUCGACCUCAAAUCAGGUAGGACUACCCGCUGAACUUAAGCAUAUCAAUAAGCGGAGGAA
rnacentral:rRNA from 1 species